CGCGAAUCGUCCUUGCAACUGCUGCUAUUUUUCCUUUUGGCCACAAGAUGGUGACAUGUGGAACUCAAGAAUGUUCAUUUUGAUCGAGUCCGCUCACGUCUUCUUCAUCUUUUGAAUUUUUGGCUGAAUUUUUGUUUCUUCCCAUACGAAACCCAGUUGUUGAUUUUUACUCUGGGGAAUUCAAAUGGGAAAGGGAUGAAGAAUUUCGUUUUUACCCUUACCCAUUUCCCUCCCUUUGGAGAAAACCCUAAAGUUCUCCUAUAUAGGGUCUCUUUUGUUCUUCCGAGAAGGGGGGUUUUAAGUUUUUUUUGGGAGGGAAUUUUUUGUAGCAAUGUAUCGAAAAUUUCUUUACUCUGAAAAUUUGUGUUGCAAGAAGAGAAUUUUUUUUGUGCAAAAAAAAAAGUUGAG
rnacentral:misc_RNA from 1 species